rnacentral:rRNA from 1 species
GACGAACCGUGCGAACGUUAUUCGGAAUCACUGGGCUUAAAGCGCGUGUAGGCGGGAGGGCACGUCCGUCGCUGAAAUCCCCCGGCUCAACCGGGGAACGGGCGCGGAUACGACCUUCCUGGAGGGGCGUAGGGGGACCUGGAACUUCCGGUGGAGCGGUGAAAUGCGUUGAGAUCGGAAAGAACACCAACGGCGAAAGCACUCUGCUGGGCCGACACUGACACUGAGAGACGAAAGCUAGGGGAGCAAAUGGG